rnacentral:pre_miRNA from 1 species
GAACUACUCCCUCUGUCCCAAAUUUCUUGUCUUAGAUUUGUCUAGAUACGGAUGUAUCUAAUACUAAAAUGUGACUUGAUACAUCUGUAUCUAGACAAAUCUAAGACAAGAAUUUUGGGACGGAGGGAGUACUUU